UCUUAGGAUCUACUCUCUUAACAGCUUUCAAAUUUUGUGACUCUUAAUCCCACAGGUGCUGCCCCAGUUUCCUCAUCUGUAUGGUGAGGGCACAAGCAAAAUGAGUCAGAGCACAAGGACCUACUUUCUCCAGCUGCAAAGAUGACCUUAUGCUUCAUCUCUACACUCCCUCAGGCACGCCAGUACAGCACCCCACCACCCCAGUGUGUCUCGAAGCCCCCCAGAGCUGGAGUCCUCCCUCCCCUUCAGCCCUUGGAAGCCACACCUUAUUGCUCAUCCCACACAAGCCCCGGUCCUGCCCUGGCUGCCCAGAAAUCCACAUUUGCCCUGAGGAGGAGGUGACAGAAGAGGAACUUCAGCAAGAGAACAGAGGCCAACUGGGGUCCCCAGGAGGAAACUGAGGCCCAGAGCAUUGAGUGAUGUCACCCAGGCAGUAACUGGACAGGCUGAGAUUCAAACCCGGGGCCAUGACUCUACGCCUGAGAUGUAGGAGUGCCGUGAGCCACACCCACCUCUCUCCGUGAGAUCCCUGAGGGGAUGUCUCUAUCGCUGAUGUGUCUCCACAUCAACCCCCUUUGUGGGCAGAUGGUAUUUUCCAAAGAUGGCCACUAUAAUCUCUCCCCGCCCACAUGCUCUUCCUACAAAUGACAAUGACACUCCUCUCACCUAGGGGCGGGGUCUAUGGAGAGAGCCAGUGACUACAGCAGAAGUGACAUUAUAUGAAUUCCAAAGCUGAGUCCAAUAAAAGAUAAUAAGGCUUCCACCUGGUUCCCUUGGGAUACUCACUCUUGGAACCCAGCCACCAUGCUACCAGGAAGCCCAGGCCACAUGGAACUGGAACGGUCACAGUAGGUAUUCCAACUGAGGUCCCAGCUGACAGCCAGCGUCAAUUGCCAGGCAAAUGUGUGCGAAAGCCUUCUAGGUAACUCCAGGCCCUGUCAUGGUCUGACUGCAACUGUUUGAGAAAUCCUGAACAAGAACUGCCCUAGCUGAGCCCAGAGGCCCCCCAGAGCCAUGAGAGAUGAUAAUGCUUGGGGUGAUUUGAGAUGUAGCAUAGAUAACUGGGACACCCUCCAUCCUCUCCCCGCUCACAUACACCUGAGUCCAGCCAGGGCCUGCUAUGCAGGUGGUGCUAUUUCAAGUCACUUUAAUUCACAAGCCAUACGUGCAUGCGUGCACAUACCCUAAUAGCCUAUUUAGGGAAAUUGAGGCCUCCCAAUUGUGCACAGAGAAGUCUCUACCAGGGAAAGGAAAGACUUCAACAUUUUGUAGUAACAGCCUUUUAUUGUGUGUGGAUUAAAGACAGACUGCAGAAUCAACCCAUAAUGGACACUUGGCCUUAAACAACUGACCUCUGGGCUCUCCUGAUCCCUGACAUUUUUAAAAAAAGCUUUAUUGAGAUAUAAUUCACAUACUACAGCACUCACCUCUUUAAAGCAUACAAUCAAUGGUUUUAUCUACAGUUGUGUAACUAUCACUAUAAUUUUAAAACAUUUAAAAUCAUUGCCUUCUUUCUCUAUGGCUCUGUCUAGUCUGGACAUGUCAUAUAAAUGGAACCAUACAAUAUGUGGUCUUUUGUGACUGGCAUCUUUCACUUAACACAGUGUUCUCAAAGUUCAUCCAUAUUGUAUAUACGGCAUACCUUUCUGUGGCUGAAUAAUAUUCUGUUGUAUGGA